rnacentral:rRNA from 1 species
AGUGAACGCUGGCGGUAGGCCUAACACAUGCCAGUCGAACGGCAGCACAGUAAGAGCUUGCUCUUACGGGUGGCGAGUGGCGGACGGGUGAGGAAUACAUCGGAAUCUACUUUUUCGUGGGGGAUCACGUAGGGAAACUUACGCUAAUACCGCAUACGACCUACGGGUGAAAGCAGGGGAACUUCGGACCUUGCGCGAUUGAAUGAGCCGAUGUCGGAUUAGCUAGUUGGCGGGGUAAAGGCCCACCAAGGCGACGAUCCGUAGCUGGUCUGAGAGGAUGGUCAGCCACACUGGAACUGAGACACGGUCCAGACUCCUACGGGAGGCAGCAGUGGGGAAUAUUGGACAAUGGGCGCAAGCCUGAUCCAGCCAUACCGCGUGGGUGAAGAAGGCCUUCGGGUUGUAAAGCCCUUUUGUUGGGAAAGAAAAGCAGCAGGUUAAUACCCCGCUGUUCUGACGGUACCCAAAGAAUAAGCACCGGCUAACUUCGUG